CCUCACCAACCUCACACCAACCUCACCAUCCUCACCAUCAUCCCCAACCUCACCAUCAUCACCACCAUCGUCACCAUAACCACAACUCACCCUCCGCCCUCUGCGUCCCCCAGAGUAACGUCCACGGGAUAGUGGUUGACUGGAGCGACGGACACAUAAGCAAGUAUCCGGGUUUGUGGCUUCACGACCAAGCCAAGACACCGGUGGAUCCGCCACUUCUUCAGCAGCACCAAGUCUAUGCUGUGUGAUGCACUGGAGUCACGAGGUUCUUUGACACCUCAAAGACGCUGUCGACGAUGAGGAAGAUGGCGGUCAAAGUGAUGCUUAUUACCGAGGUUUUCGUUUGACCCGAGAGCAACCCGGCUGACGAAGGCGCUCUGCUUUCUGCUGUUGAUUCUCUCUAUCUGUUUAUCUAUCUAUCUAUGUAUCAAUCUGUUUAUCUAUCUAUAUCUCGGUCUAUCUAUUGAACUAACUCUCUCUCUCUCUCUCUCUCUCUCUCUCUCUCUCUCUCUCUCUCUCUCUCUCUCUCUCUCUCUCUCUCUCUCUCUCUCUCUCUCUCUCUCUCUCUCUCUCUCUCUCUCUGUUUUAAACCUCUGAUGAUACCUACAUGCCGAAAAUAUAUUCAUAUUAUGUUAUCUGAAAUCUGUAUGUAGCAGUGAGGGAACUUAAAUAGCACCUGUGUGUAAUGUAUGCCAAAUAAUUUUGAGUUUGAAGCAUAUGUGAUAAUAAAAUAUUAACAAAG
rnacentral:lncRNA from 1 species